AGUCGAACGUGAAAGCACUUCGGUGUGAGUAGAGUGGCGGACGGGUGAGUAACGCGUGGGAAUCUACCCAGUAGUGGGGGACAACUACCGGAAACGGUAGCUAAUACCGCAUACGCCCUAUGGGGGAAAGGCUUCGGCCGCUAUUGGAUGAGCCCGCGUCAGAUUAGCUAGUUGGUAGGGUAAAGGCCUACCAAGGCAACGAUCUGUAGCUGGUCUGAGAGGACGAACAGCCACACUGGGACUGAGACACGGCCCAGACUCCUACGGGAGGCAGCAGUGGGGAAUAUUGGACAAUGGGCGAAAGCCUGAUCCAGCAAUGCCGCGUGUGUGAAGAAGGCCUGCGGGUUGUAAAGCACUUUCAGUUGGGAAGAUGAUGACGUUACCAACAGAAGAAGCACCGGCUAACUACGUGCCAGCAGCCGCGGUAAUACGUAGGGUGCAAGCGUUGUCCGGAAUUAUUGGGCGUAAAGAGCUCGUAGGCGGUUUGUCACGUCUGCUGUGAAAAUCCGAGGCUCAACCUCGGACCUGCAGUGGGUACGGGCAAACUAGAGUGCGGUAGGGGGAGAUUGGAAUUCCUGGUGUAGCGGUGGAAUGCGCAGAUAUCAGGAGGAACACCAAUGGCGAAGGCAGAUCUCUGGGCCGUAACUGACGCUGAGGAGCGAAAGCGUGGGGAGCGAACAGGAUUAGAUACCCUGGUAGAAGGGC
rnacentral:rRNA from 1 species